GCCGGGCGUGGUGGUGCAUGCCUGUAAUCCCAGCCACUAGGGAGGCUGAGGCAGGAGAAUUGCUUGAACCCAGGAGGCGGAGGUUGCAGUGAGCUGAGAGCAUGCCACUGCACUCCAGCCUGGGAAACAGAGCAAGACUCUGUCUCAA
ensembl:misc_RNA Metazoa_SRP Metazoan signal recognition particle RNA